rnacentral:tRNA from 1 species
GGGCCCAUAGCUCAAUUGGCUAGAGCGUCAGGCUGGCAGUCUGAAGGUUGCGGGUUCGAGACCCGCUGGGUCCA